rnacentral:rRNA from 1 species
AUUGAACGCUGGCGGCAGGCUUAACACAUGCAAGUCGAGCGGGCGAGGUUGCUUCGGUAACUGAGCUAGCGGCGGACGGGUGAGUAAUGCUUAGGAAUCUGCCUAUUAGUGGGGGACAACAUUCCGAAAGGGAUGCUAAUACCGCAUACGUCCUACGGGAGAAAGCAGGGGCUCUUUAUGACCUUGCGCUAAUAGAUGAGCCUAAGUCGGAUUAGCUAGUUGGUGGGGUAAAGGCCUACCAAGGCGACGAUCUGUAGCGGGUCUGAGAGGAUGAUCCGCCACACUGGGACUGAGACACGGCCCAGACUCCUACGGGAGGCAGCAGUGGGGAAUAUUGGACAAUGGGGGGAACCCUGAUCCAGCCAUGCCGCGUGUGUGAAGAAGGCCUUUUGGUUGUAAAGCACUUUAAGUGGGGAGGAGGCUUACCUGGUUAAUACCUGGGCUAAGUGGACGUUACCCACAGAAUAAGCACCGGCUAACUCUGUG